GCGGCGUCUUUGAGCGGGAGUUUCACCUACCUCGGCGAAGGGCCGAGAGACCUGGACUCCAAACCCGGAUUCCGCACGGCGAAGCUCGGCGGGCUGCCGGCCAGGCCGGGCCUCUGCACGCGGCAGCUGGCAAGUCGGGUUCGAACAGUUGAUAAAGACCCCGCCUGAGACGUGACUUGGACCUCAGUUCCGUCGCCUGUGAAAUGGGCACAGUCUUGCGGGAGAACAAGGUUGCCCUAGGCCUGCAUGCGGCAGGGAGUGUGGAAAUGGACGGCCGCGUCCGAAGCGGGGCAAGUGCCUGGCGGGACGGAAAGCGGGCCCCCCCUCCGCGUCUGCCCAGAAAGCGGACCGUGGAUCACGAGUCCAGCAGAGACCCCCGUCCUUGGCCGACUUGAGCGACCAGUCGUAGAUAGCGGACUCAAAGCUUUACUCGGCACCCUCAGCAAGCACCGCGCAGCUGCAGCCCCGGACAGGUGCUGAGAUUCGGGGUCCUCUGGAGGAAGCCCUUGGCCUCGUGGAAUCCCGUUCUAGUGGGAGCGCAGACCAUAAGCAGGAAGCACGAGUCUGUGUGGUGCAGAGAAACACGCGCUCAAGGCAAGUGGAGCAACACCCAGAGCGGCGGGCGGUGGGCUGCUAUUUGGGAGGCCUCUCUAGGGGUCACACUAGAGCAGAGGUCUGGGGGACAGGAGCCAGCCCUUUGGGACCCUGAGGAGGAGGGAAGACCUUCAGGCUGGGGCCUGCCUGCUGGCGUGGAGGACAGCAGGAGGCUCUUCCCCUUGUGCCUGGAAAACACCGACGCAAAGGCCAGAAGAGUCGGAGCCAGGGCAGCAGUGCAGGUGAGAAAAAAGGUCAGACCUGGGAGUUCCCAUCGUGGCGCAGCGGAAAUGAAUCCGACUAGGAACCAUGAGGUGGCAGGUUCAAUCCCUGGCCUCGCUCAGGGGGUUAAGGACCCGGUGUUGCCGUGAGCUGUGGUGUAGGUCGCAGACGCAGCUGGGAUCCCAGGUUGCUGUGGCUGUGGCGUAGGCCGGUGGCUGUAGCUCCGAUUAGAUCCCUAGCCUGGGAACCUCCAUAUGCUACAGGUGCGUCCCUAAAAAG
rnacentral:lncRNA from 9 species